AUGAAGAAAAGAAUGGUUAGUGCCCAUGCACAAGAAAUGAACAUCAUGUAUCUGAGUGCAUCUACCAUAUUUGAGAAGUAUUGUGACAGUUGGGUGAUGAAGGCCGAUCCUAGGACAUCUAUCUUGAGUGGAUUUGGAUGGUUGCAAGAGACUAUCAGUACACCGGGAGAGACCUUCACCAUGCUUAGAAUGAAGCAAUGCCAACUGGCGCACAUUUAG
rnacentral:rRNA from 1 species